rnacentral:rRNA from 2 species
UGGUGGGGUGACUGCGUACCUUUUGUAUAAUGGGUCAGCGACUUAUAUUCUGUAGCAAGGUUAACUGUAUAGGGGAGCCGGAGGGAAACCGAGUCUUAACCGGGCGUUAAGUUGCAGGGUAUAGACCCGAAACCCGGUGAUCUAGCCAUGGGCAGGUUGAAGGUUGGGUAACACUAACUGGAGGACCGAACCGACUAAUGUUGAAAAAUUAGCGGAUGACCUGUGGCUGGGGGUGAAAGGCCAAUCAAACCGGGAGAUAGCUGGUUCUCCCCGAAAGCUAUUUAGGUAGCGCCUCGUGAAUUCAUCUCCGGGGGUAGAGCACUGUUUCGGCUAGGGGGCCAUCCCGGCUUACCAACCCGAUGCAAACUGCGAAUACCGGAGAAUGUUAUCACGGGAGACACACGGCGGGUGCUAAUGUCCGUCGUGAAGAGGGAAACAACCCAGACCGCCAGCUAAGGUCCCAAAGUCAUGGUUAAGUGGGAAACGAUGUGGGAAGGCCCAGACAGCCAGGAUGUUGGCUUAGAAGCAGCCAUCAUUUAAAGAAAGCGUAAUAGCUCACUGGUCGAGUCGGCCUGCGCGGAAGAUGUAACGGGGCUAAACCAUGCACCGAAGCUGCGGCAGCGACACCGUGUGUUGUUGGGUAGGGGAGCGUUCUGUAAGCCUGUGAAGGUGUGCUGUGAGGCAUGCUGGAGGUAUCAGAAGUGCGAAUGCUGACAUAAGUAACGAUAAAGCGGGUGAAAAGCCCGCUCGCCGGAAGACCAAGGGUUCCUGUCCAACGUUAAUCGGGGCAGGGUGAGUCGACCCCUAAGGCGAGGCCGAAAGGCGUAGUCGAUGGGAAACGGGUUAAUAUUCCCGUACUUGGUGUUACUGCGAAGGGGGGACGGAGAAGGCUAUGUUGGCCGGGCGACGGUUGUCCCGGUUUAAGCGUGUAGGUAUGUGUUCCAGGUAAAUCCGGUUCACUUUAACACUGAGGCGUGACGACGAGGCACUACGGUGCUGAAGCAACAAAUGCCCUGCUUCCAGGAAAAGCCUCUAAGCAUCAGGUAACAUCAAAUCGUACCCCAAACCGACACAGGUGGUCAGGUAGAGAAUACCAAGGCGCUUGAGAGAACUCGGGUGAAGGAACUAGGCAAAAUGGUGCCGUAACUUCGGGAGAAGGCACGCUGACACGUAGGUGAAGUGAUUUACUCACGGAGCUGAAGUCAGCCGAAGAUACCAGCUGGCUGCAACUGUUUAUUAAAAACACAGCACUGUGCAAACACGAAAGUGGACGUAUACGGUGUGACGCCUGCCCGGUGCCGGAAGGUUAAUUGAUGGGGUCAGCGCAAGCGAAGCUCCUGAUCGAAGCCCCGGUAAACGGCGGCCGUAACUAUAACGGUCCUAAGGUAGCGAAAUUCCUUGUCGGGUAAGUUCCGACCUGCACGAAUGGCGUAAUGAUGGCCAGGCUGUCUCCACCCGAGACUCAGUGAAAUUGAACUCGCUGUGAAGAUGCAGUGUACCCGCGGCAAGACGGAAAGACCCCGUGAACCUUUACUAUAGCUUGACACUGAACAUUGAGCCUUGAUGUGUAGGAUAGGUGGGAGGCUUUGAAGUGUGGACGCCAGUCUGCAUGGAGCCGACCUUGAAAUACCACCCUUUAAUGUUUGAUGUUCUAACGUGGACCCGUGAUCCGGGUUGCGGACAGUGUCUGGUGGGUAGUUUGACUGGGGCGGUCUCCUCCUAAAGAGUAACGGAGGAGCACGAAGGUUGGCUAAUCCUGGUCGGACAUCAGGAGGUUAGUGCAAUGGCAUAAGCCAGCUUGACUGCGAGCGUGACGGCGCGAGCAGGUGCGAAAGCAGGUCAUAGUGAUCCGGUGGUUCUGAAUGGAAGGGCCAUCGCUCAACGGAUAAAAGGUACUCCGGGGAUAACAGGCUGAUACCGCCCAAGAGUUCAUAUCGACGGCGGUGUUUGGCACCUCGAUGUCGGCUCAUCACAUCCUGGGGCUGAAGUAGGUCCCAAGGGUAUGGCUGUUCGCCAUUUAAAGUGGUACGCGAGCUGGGUUUAGAACGUCGUGAGACAGUUCGGUCCCUAUCUGCCGUGGGCGCUGGAGAACUGAGGGGGGCUGCUCCUAGUACGAGAGGACCGGAGUGGACGCAUCACUGGUGUUCGGGUUGUCAUGCCAAUGGCACUGCCCGGUAGCUAAAUGCGGAAGAGAUAAGUGCUGAAAGCAUCUAAGCACGAAACUUGCCCCGAGAUGAGUUCUCCCUGAGACUUUAGGUCUCCUGAAGGAACGUUGAAGACGACGACGUUGAUAGGCCGGGUGUGUAAGCGCAGCGAUGCGUUGAGCUAACCGGUACUAAUGAACCGUGAGGCUUAACCUUACAACGCCGAAG